GGUGGAUGCCUUGACACUAGGAGUCGAUGAAGGACGGGACUAACGCCGAUAUGCUUCGGGGAGCUGUAAGUAAGCUUUGAUCCGAAGAUUUCCGAAUGGGGAAACCCACCAUACGUAAUGGUAUGGUAUCCUUAUCUGAAUACAUAGGGUAAGGAAGACAGACCCAGGGAACUGAAACAUCUAAGUACCUGGAGGAAGAGAAAGCAAAUGCGAUUUCCUGAGUAGCGGCGAGCGAAACGGAACAUAGCCCAAACCAAGAGGCUUGCCUCUUGGGGUUGUAGGACAUUCUAUACGGAGUUACAAAGGAACGAGGUAGACGAAGCGACCUGGAAAGGUCCGUCGUAGAGGGUAACAACCCCGUAGUCGAAACUUCGUUCUCUCUUGAAUGUAUCCUGAGUACGGCGGAACACGUGAAAUUCCGUCGGAAUCUGGGAGGACCAUCUCCCAAGGCUAAAUACUCCCUAGUGAUCGAUAGUGAACCAGUACCGUGAGGGAAAGGUGAAAAGCACCCCGGAAGGGGAGUGAAAGAGAUCCUGAAACCGUGUGCCUACAAAUAGUCAGAGCCCGUUAACGGGUGAUGGCGUGCCUUUUGUAGAAUGAACCGGCGAGUUACGAUCCCGUGCGAGGUUAAGCUGAAGAGGCGGAGCCGCAGCGAAAGCGAGUCUGAAUAGGGCGUUUAGUACGUGGUCGUAGACCCGAAACCAGGUGAUCUACCCAUGUCCAGGGUGAAGUUCAGGUAACACUGAAUGGAGGCCCGAACCCACGCACGUUGAAAAGUGCGGGGAUGAGGUGUGGGUAGCGGAGAAAUUCCAAUCGAACCUGGAGAUAGCUGGUUCUCCCCGAAAUAGCUUUAGGGCUAGCCUUAAGUGUAAGAGUCUUGGAGGUAGAGCACUGAUUGGACUAGGGGUCCUCAUCGGAUUACCGAAUUCAGUCAAACUCCGAAUGCCAAUGACUUAUCCUUAGGAGUCAGACUGCGAGUGAUAAGAUCCGUAGUCAAAAGGGAAACAGCCCAGACCGCCAGCUAAGGUCCCAAAGUGUGUAUUAAGUGGAAAAGGAUGUGGAGUUGCUUAGACAACUAGGAUGUUGGCUUAGAAGCAGCCACCAUUUAAAGAGUGCGUAAUAGCUCACUAGUCGAGUGACUCUGCGCCGAAAAUGUACCGGGGCUAAAUACACCACCGAAGCUGCGGAUUGAUACCGAAUGGUAUCAGUGGUAGGGGAGCGUUCUAAGGACAGUGAAGUCAGACCGGAAGGACUGGUGGAGUGCUUAGAAGUGAGAAUGCCGGUAUGAGUAGCGAAAGACGGGUGAGAAUCCCGUCCACCGAAUGCCUAAGGUUUCCUGAGGAAGGCUCGUCCGCUCAGGGUUAGUCAGGACCUAAGCCGAGGCCGACAGGCGUAGGCGAUGGACAACAGGUUGAUAUUCCUGUACCACCUCUUUAUCGUUUGAGCAAUGGAGGGACGCAGAAGGAUAGAAGAAGCGUGCGAUUGGUUGUGCACGUCCAAGCAGUUAGGCUGAUAAGUAGGCAAAUCCGCUUAUCGUAAAGGCUGAGCUGUGAUGGGGAAGCUCCUUAUGGAGCGAAGUCUUUGAUUCCCCGCUGCCAAGAAAAGCUUCUAGCGAGAUAAAAGGUGCCUGUACCGCAAACCGACACAGGUAGGCGAGGAGAGAAUCCUAAGGUGUGCGAGAGAACUCUGGUUAAGGAACUCGGCAAAAUGACCCCGUAACUUCGGGAGAAGGGGUGCUUUCUUAACGGAAAGCCGCAGUGAAUAGGCCCAAGCGACUGUUUAGCAAAAACACAGCUCUCUGCGAAGCCGUAAGGCGAAGUAUAGGGGGUGACACCUGCCCGGUGCUGGAAGGUUAAGGAGAGGGGUUAGCGUAAGCGAAGCUCUGAACUGAAGCC
rnacentral:rRNA from 1 species